GAUGCAUCAUUCAAAUAUCUGCCCUAUCAACUUUCGAUGGUAGGAUAGAGGCUACCAUGGUUUCAACGGGUAACGGGAAUAAGGGUUCGAUUCCGGAGAGGGAGCCUGAGAAACGGUACACAUCCAAGGAAGGCCAGCAGGCGCGCAAAUUACCCAAUCCCGACACGGGGAGGUAGUGACAAUAAAUAACAAUAUAGGGCUCUUUUGGGUUCUUAUAAUUGGGAAUCGAGUCACAAUUUAAAUCUCUUAACGAGGAACAAUUGGAGGGCAAGUCUGGUUGCCAGCAGCCGCGGUAAUUCCAGCUCCAAUAGCGUCAUAUCUAAAGUUGUUGCAGUUAAAAAGCUCGUAGUUGAACUUCAGAUCUGGUUGAGUGGUCCGCCUAACGGUGUGUUACUGCUUGACUGGAUCUUGUCUCUUGGUGAACCGUUGUGUCUUUAUUGGAUGCUUCGGGGAACCAGGACUUUUACCUUGAGAAAAUUCAGAGUGUUCAAGCAGGCCUAUGCCCGAAUACAUUAGCAUGGAAUAAUAGAA
rnacentral:rRNA from 1 species